UCGAAUCCCACAACSAGCAGACCGCGCACAYGUAUAUGCYGCACGGGGCACUCGACGGGAAGUUGCRCAUGCGCCUCCCGUUGUUGCCCCGCACCCSACCGACCCUCGCGCAAGUGAGUGGARCCGGYGGGRCCAACAACAAACCCACGGCGUAGAAARGCGCCAAGGAUCACAAACGUGGAGUACUGCCCCCGUCAUGCACCCGUUYGUGGUGUGCUAUKCGGGGGAUGUUCUCCCAAUAUUGAAUACGAAAAAAAU
rnacentral:misc_RNA from 1 species